GACGGAAGGUGCGAGCGUUGUCCGGAAUUAUUGGGCGUAAAGAGCUCGUAGGCGGUUUGUCACGUCUGCUGUGAAAUCCCGAGGCUCAACCUCGGGCCUGCAGUGGGUACGGGCAGACUGGAGUGCGGUAGGGGAGAAUGGAAUUCCUGGUGUAGCGGUGGAAUGCGCAGAUAUCAGGAGGAACACCGAUGGCGAAGGCAGUUCUCUGGGCCGUAACUGACGCUGAGGAGCGAAAGCGUGGGGAGCAAACAGG
rnacentral:rRNA from 1 species